UCUGGUGGCGAUAGCGAAGAGGUCACACCCGUUCCCAUACCGAACACGGAAGUUAAGCUCUUUAGCGCCGAUGGUAGUUGGGACUUUGUCCCUGUGAGAGUAGGACGUUGCCAGGC
rnacentral:rRNA from 13 species